rnacentral:rRNA from 1 species
GACGAACGCUGGCGGCGUGCUUAACACAUGCAAGUCGAACGAAGAGCGAUGGAAUCUUGCUUCUAUCAAUCUUAGUGGCGAACGGGUGAGUAACGCGUAAUCAACCUUCCCUUCAGUGGGGGACACCAGUUGGAAACUCCUGCUAAUACCGCAUACGUUCUAUUCUCGGCAUCUAGGUUAGUUUAAAGUUGGCCUCUACAUUUAUGCUUUCACUGAAGUUGGGGUUUUCGUCUGAUUAUCUAGUUGGUGUGGUAACGGCCCACCAAGGCGAUGAUCAGUAGACGGUCGGAGAGGAUGAACGGCCAAAUUGGGACGGAGACAAGGCACAGACUCCUACGGGAGGCAGCAGGGGGGAAUCUUGCGCAAUGGACGAAAGUCUGACGGAGCAACGCCGCGUGAGCGAUGACGGCCUUCGGGUUGUAAAGCUCUGUUAAUCGGGACGAAAGGCCUUCUUGCGAAUAGUGAGAAGGAUUGACGGUACCGGAAUAGAAAGCCACGGCUAACUACGUG